rnacentral:rRNA from 1 species
GACGAACGCUGGCGGCAUGCCUAACACAUGCAAGUCGAACGGAGAUUAUUUCGAUAAUCUUAGUGGCGAACGGGUGAGUAACGCGUGGGCAACCUGCCCUCUAGAUGGGGACAACAUCCCGAAAGGGGUGCUAAUACCGAAUGUGACAGCAAUCUCGCAUGAGGAUGCUGUGAAAGAUGGCCUCUAUUUAUAAGCUAUCGCUAGAGGCUGGGCCUGCGUCUGAUUAGCUAGUUGGUGGGGUAACGGCCUACCAAGGCGAUGAUCAGUAGCCGGUCUGAGAGGAUGAACGGCCACAUUGGGACUGAGACACGGCCCAGACUCCUACGGGAGGCAGCAGUGGGGAAUCUUCCGCAAUGGGCGAAAGCCUGACGGAGCAAUGCCGCGUGAGUGAUGAAGGAAUUCGUUCCGUAAAGCUCUUUUGUUUAUGACGAAUAUGCAGAUUGUGAAUAAUGAUCUGUAAUGACGGUAGUAAACGAAUAAGCCACGGCUAACUACGUGCCAGCCGCCGCGGUAA